GACGAACGCUGGCGGCGUGCUUAACACAUGCAAGUCGAACGGAAAGGCCCUGCUUUUGUGGGGUGCUCGAGUGGCGAACGGGUGAGUAACACGUGAGUAACCUGCCCUUGACUUUGGGAUAACUUCAGGAAACUGGGGCUAAUACCGGAUAGGAGCUCCUGCUGCAUGGUGGGGGUUGGAAAGUUUCGGCGGUUGGGGAUGGACUCGCGGCUUAUCAGCUUGUUGGUGGGGUAGUGGCUUACCAAGGCUUUGACGGGUAGCCGGCCUGAGAGGGUGACCGGCCACAUUGGGACUGAGAUACGGCCCAGACUCCUACGGGAGGCAGCAGUGGGGAAUAUUGCCCAAUGGGCGGAAGCCUGAUGCAGCAACGCCGCGUGCGGGAUGACGGCCUUCGGGUUGUAAACCGCUUUAGCCUGUGACGAAGCGUGAGUGACGGUAAUGGGUAAAGAAGCACCGGCUAACUACGUG
rnacentral:rRNA from 1 species